GGGGGGGGGGGGGGGGGGGGGGGGGGGGGGGAGGGGGGGGGGGGGGGCGAGGGGCGGGCGCCUGGGACGGGGGCGGCGGACGGGUGAGUAACACGUGGAGAACCUACCUAUAAGACUGGGAGAACUUCGGGAAACCGGAGCUAAGACCGGAUAAUAUAUGGAACCGCAUGGUUCAAUAGUGAAAGACGGUUUUGCUGUCACUUAUAGAUGGAUCCGCGCCGCAUUAGCUAGUUGGUAAGGUAACGGCUUACCAAGGCGACGAUGCGUAGCCGACCUGAGAGGGUGAUCGGCCACACUGGAACUGAGACACGGUCCAGCCUCCUACGGGAGGCAGCAGUAGGGAAUCUUCCGCAAUGGGCGAAAGCCUGACGGAGCAACGCCGCGUGAGUGAUGAAGGUCUUCGGAUCGUAAAACUCUGUUAUUAGGGAAGAACAAAUGUGUAAGUAACUAUGCACGUCUUGACGGUACCUAAUCAGAAAGCCACGGCUAACUACG
rnacentral:rRNA from 1 species